rnacentral:rRNA from 1 species
ACGCUAGCGAUAGGCUUAACACAUGCAAGUCGAGGGGCAGCAUGGUCUUAGCUUGCUAAGACUGAUGGCGACCGGCGCACGGGUGCGUAACGCGUAUGCAACUUGCCUCACAGAGGGGGAUAACCCGUCGAAAGACGGACUAAUACCGCGUACACUUACAGGAGGGCAUCCUCCAGUAAGGAAAUGAAAUUCGCUGUGAGAUAGGCAUGCGUCCCAUUAGCUAGUUGGUGAGGUAACGGCUCACCAAGGCGACGAUGGGUAGGGGAACUGAGAGGUUGAACCCCCACACUGGUACUGAGACACGGACCAGACUCCUACGGGAGGCAGCAGUGAGGAAUAUUGGUCAAUGGGCGAGAGCCUGAACCAGCCAAGUCGCGUGAAGGAUGACUGUCUUAUGGAUUGUAAACUUCUUUUAUACGGGAAUAACAAGAGUCACGUGUGACUCCCUGCAUGUACCGUAUGAAUAAGCAUCGGCUAACUCCGUGCCAGCAGCCGCGGUAAUACGGAGGAUGCGAGCGUUAUCCGGAUUUAUUGGGUUUAAAGGGUGCGUAGGCGGCCUGUUAAGUCAGCGGUGAAAUCUAGGAGCUUAGCUCCUAAAUUGCCAUUGAUACUGGCGGGCUUGAGUGUAGAUGAGGUAGGCGGAAUGCGUGGUGUAGCGGUGGAAUGCAUAGAUAUCACGCAGAACUCCGAUUGCGAAGGCAGCUUACUAAGGUACAACUGACGCUGAAGCACGAAAGCGUGGGUAUCAAACAGGAUUAGAUACCCUGGUAGUCCACGCAGUAAACGAUGAUAACUGGGCGUAUGCGAUAUACAGUAUGCUCCUAAGCGAAAGCGUUAAGUUAUCCACCUGGGGAGUACGCCGGCAACGGUGAAACUCAAAGGAAUUGACGGGGGCCCGCACAAGCGGAGGAACAUGUGGUUUAAUUCGA